GACGAACGCUGGCGGCGUGCCUAAUACAUGCAAGUCGAACGCAGUGGCGGACGGGUGAGUAACGCGUAGGUAACUGCCUGGUAGCGGGGGAUAACUAUUGGAAACGAUAGCUAAUACCGCAUACUACCAGAUGGACCUGCGUUGUAUUAGCUAGUUGGUGGGGUAACGGAUUACCAAGGCGACGAUACAUAGCCGACCUGAGAGGGUGAUCGGCCACACUGGGACUGAGACACGGCCCAGACUCCUACGGGAGGCAGCAGUAGGGAAUCUUCGGCAAUGGACGGAAGUCUGACCGAGCAACGCCGCGUGAGUGAAGAAGGUUUUCGGAUCGUAAAGCUCUGUUGUAAGAGAAGCGGUAUCUUACCAGAAAGGGACGGCUAACUACGUGCCAGCCGCCGCGGUAAUUC
rnacentral:rRNA from 1 species